rnacentral:snRNA from 1 species
AUACUUACCUAAAUGUGGUUAAUGGAUGAUCUAUAAGGCUCAUGACCUAAGUUUGUAACCUCCAUUGCACUUUGGAGGGAUAUCUGUCUAAGUGGCAGAGUCUACGUCAUAAUUUAUGAAAGAAGGCCUACAUUUGCGCGGCACUGC